CCACUCCCAUUGAAUCACUGACUUGAAGUGCCAGUCCACCAACCCGAACGGGUUUCCAUAUGAGAGAUCCAAGUUGGAAGACUGGUUUUUUAAAGCUUGCUAUGCAGCGCAACACGUGAGUCUUUCCUCCUGUUUCAGCAUACCACGUACCUGCUGGGGCCGGGCUGGGAUCGUGGUCUCGACGCUCGCCCGCCCUUUACCAAAUUCCAAGCAAACCUUCCUCCCUCUCUCUAGCCGGGAUCAAUGUUUGGAAGGCUGCCUGCCUCUGCAAAAGCGUUAGUGACGGAUGGAUCAUUUACUGUAAAUUAUGAAGGAAGGUUGGCUUGUUAAGCCGGCAAGGGAAACUGGGACUGCUCUUCAAUCGAUCCAGAACAAGAGAGAGAGAGAGCAAUCAAUUUAGAGAGAGAGAGAGGGGAGCAAUUAAUCUAGAGAGAUAGAGGGAGGAGAUGGGCGUUGGGUCUCUGUGCGUGGGCGGAUUGGGGCUGAUAGGAAUUGGAGCUUGGCAGGCAUUGACCUCUGCCACGGCUUUUAUCUCCUCCAUUACCCACAACACCACAAGGAGUAAUAGUAAUAAUAACCCUCCUCCUUCUCAGCUUUCCGCCAUGGCUAUCAUCUCUCUCCUCUUCCUCCUAAACUCACUUUUCUCCUCUCUCAAAGGUCUCCAGGCUCGAGACCAUCUCGGCUUCUCUGUUCAAUUGGAGGUCUCUGUGAUUUCGUCGAUCUUCCUCCUCUACUCCAUUGCUGGUCUUUUAAGCGAGCUCACCCAUCUCCUUCCCUUAUCUUCUCCUACCUUGAAUCUCAUCGCCCUCUUUGCCUUCGCCCAAGAAUUUCUUCUAUUUUAUUUGCAGAGAAAGGAUCCAACUGGUCUUGAGAACAGGUAUUUCAGCCUCCUCCUCGUACCCAUCUCGGUGUGUCUGGUUUCCACCUUUCUGCAAAUUGGGUACCCCAAAUCGCCAUUUCCAAGCUUGGCUCGUGGGGCUGGGUUAAUUUUACAGGGCACCUGGUUUUGCCAAAUGGGUUUCUCUUUCUACACCAAUUGGAUGCCUCACGGCUGUGCACUUUAUGAGAGAAGCCAUGGAAAUUACACCAUCAAGUGCAAGGGGCACGCAGAGUACCAUAUGAGCAAAGCCGUUGCAACGCUUCAGUUCAACUGUCAUUUGGCUCUGCUCAUUGUCUCUCUCCUCUGUUCUUACUCUCUGCUUUGUAAGAAGAAAUUCCACCAUCGAGAGAACUAUUCUAGUUAUCAGCCCCUCAAUUUGAAAGAUCAGAUUUCAGAGUUGCAGGAAUUGGGUGAUACAAACAAUGGGAAUGGGUCCAAUUUCAUUUUGGGUUCAGAUGGGGAAGAUACCCCACAUGCGGAGAACCCAAAGCAUCCACAUCUUUUUGGAGUGGUCCCAGAGGCCAAUGGUUUCGGUAAUCACUAAAGAAGCAAUGAUUUGGUAAUCAUUAGAGAACUCGCAGUCUCUCUCUCUCCCCCCCAGAGCGAAACAUUUUCUCAUUUUAUGGGAUUUCAUCCUUGUCCUGCUGACUGCAUAUUUGAUUCUUGGUGUUUUUGAAUUGCAAGAAGGAGCUCUCAAAUCUUGCAGCUCAUGCUAGGACUGUUUAUCUGGACAAUUCUUAUGGGCUAUAGGGUUUAAGGCUUUGGUUGCUGAUUUGAAUGGGACUUUCCUCAGACUUGCAAUAUUUAUAGAUCCAUGGCCACCACCCUACUAUGACCACAAAUUCGUUAUCUAAUUUCUCAAUAUCACAGCAGAAUGGCACAUUGUACAAAUAGGAAACCUCUUUCUCCAUAGAGUUUUGAAUUGAUGAGUGGGUUUCAGCAGUCUACGAAGUUUGCCAAUUGGUUUUAGUUUGGAAUUGUGUCACCCUGCGGAAAUAUCAAGAAUCCGGCACUUAAAUACAUGUAUCAACUACCAAAUGGAUGCCCGAUAUGGCUGUGAUAAUGGGAAACUUGGCAGUUGUGCAACAGCACCCCAAUAUGAAAUUUGUCCUUUGUAGAAAUAGACAUCGAUUGCUCAAGUUAACAUCACUUUGUCCUUUCUACCAGUGGAGCAUUAAAAAGGUUGCUGAGUAUAGGUAUUCAUGCUGAUUACUUGUAAUUGUUUUUUGUUGAGAUCCCUGAGUGCCCUAGACAAGGAUUUAGCAAGGCCACUAUAGUAGUUCAAAAAUUUCGAUGCCUUUGGUGAUCUGAUUACAAUGAAGGCCUUCUGUGAUGAAAGGAUGGAUAUGAUUGAAGUGUUGACUUCCUGGGCUAGGUUGUUAAAACCUUUGUUUGAAAGUUCACCGAGUGUCACCUUGUGAAUUCCUAUCUGGAAUGGGAUAUGUUUUCUUUAUAUAAUAUUAUAAGCUAAGAGAUUUCCUCC